GGCUUGUCCGGGUCUCGUCUCGAUCAUCCGGUCGCUCCUCCUUUUCGAGGGGGCGUCGGGUGUUCGGGCCUUACCUCGGGCAGCGUUGGGACGACGCAUGAGUGGCGAUUUGGAUAUGUUCCCAAUGCAGGCUCCGUGCUUCUCGCAUCGAACUGCUUCGGUCUGUCCGUUUCAUUUGAUCGUUCGCCUCGAUGCCCCGAGGGCCGAUCGCGAGUGAUGGGUGGGUUCCUGUGCUUGAUACCCGAAUGCGGUACUCGGAUUCAAUGUCGUCCACSUCCCGGUUCCCUUCUUCCACCUCCGCCUCGCGUGCGCUGGUGGAUAUCGUGCGGGCAUCGACGCUUUCCCCCCGGGCGUUCGUCCACCUCUGGGCGUUUCUGCUCGGGUCGGCGCGUCGGUGCCGUCCGCGUGCUCUCGGGUACGGAGAUAUCUAAUGCCGUCGCGCGGUCCUCUUUUGGCCGUUGCGAUCUCGACGUGUCGAAGCUUCUUUGCUUCCGCUCGGGUGACCCUCGUGCUUUCCUCGGCGCUCGCGGAGCCUCGUCGCCCCGCGUUCGUCCCUGGGAGGCCUCGAGGUCUAC
rnacentral:misc_RNA from 1 species